GAUGAACGCUGGCGGCGUGCUUAACACAUGCAAGUCGAACGAGAAGUGAAGACGGAAACCUUCGGGCGGAAGGCUUUAUUUCGAGUGGCGGACGGGUGAGUAACGCGUGGGUAACCUGCCUCAUACAGGGGGAUAACAGUUGGAAACGACUGUUAAUACCGCAUAAGACCACAGCACCGCAUGGUGCGGGGGUAAAAACUCCGGUGAUAUGAGAUGGACCCGCGUUCGAUUAGCCAGUUGGCGGGGUAACGGCCCACCAAAGCGACGAGCGAUAGCCGAUCUGAGAGGAUGACCGGCCACAUUGGGACUGAGACACGGCCCAAACUCAUACGGGAGGAAGCAGUGGGGAAUAGUGCACAAUGGGGGAAACCCUGAUGCAGCGACGCCGCGUGAGUGAAGAAGUAUUUCGGUAUGUAAAGCUCUAUCAGCAGGGAAGAAAAUGACGGUACCUGAGGAAGAAGCCCCGGCUAACUACGUG
rnacentral:rRNA from 1 species